CGAUUUAGCAUGCUAGUCGCACGAGUUCAGACUCGUGGCGAAUAGCUCAGUAACACGUGGCCAAACUACCCUUCGGAACACAAUACCCUCGGGAAACUGAGGCUAAUAGUGUAUACCACAGUCCACCUGGAAUGAGGACUGUGCUAAAUGCUCCGGCGCCGAAGGAUGUGGCUGCGGCCGAUUAGGUAGACGGUGGGGUAACGGCCCACCGUGCCAAUAAUCGGUACGGGUCAUGAGAGUGAGAACCCGGAGACGGAAUCUGAGACAAGAUUCCGGGCCCUACGGGGCGCAGCAGGCGCGAAACCUUUACACUGCACGACAGUGCGAUAAGGGAAUCCCAAGUGCGUAGGCAUAGAGCCUACGCUUUUGUCCACCGUAGGGAGGUGGACGAAUAAGGGCUGGGCAAGACCGGUGCCAGCCGCCGCGGUAAUACCGGCAGCCCGAGUGAUGGCCGAUCUUAUUGGGCCUAAAGCGUCCGUAGCUGGCCGCACAAGUCCAUCGGAAAAUCCACCCGCUCAACGGGUGGGCGUCCGGUGGAAACUGUGUGGCUUGGGACCGGAAGGCGCGACGGGUACGUCCGGGGUAGGAGUGAAAUCCUGUAAUCCUGGACGGACCGCCGAUGGCGAAAGCACGUCGCGAGAACGGAUCCGACAGUGAGGGACGAAAGCUAGGGUCUCGAACCGGAAUAAGAUACCCCGGGUAGUCCUAGCCGUAAACAAUGCCUGCUAAGUGUGGCUCCCACUACGAGUGGGUGCUGUGCCGUAGGGAAGCUGCUUAGCAAGCCGCCUGGGAAGUACGUCCGCAAGGAUGAAACUUAAAGGAAUUGCGGGGGGAGCACUACAACCGGGAGGCCUGCGGUUAAAUUGACUCAACGCCGACAUCUUCACCAGCAUCGACUGUAUAAUUGACGAUCAGUGAUGACCUUAU
rnacentral:rRNA from 1 species